GACACCAUUCAUGGUCAGGUCCUGGGAGAGCUUGUUCCUGACUUUGUUAAAGCUUGCUUUAAUUAUGUAAAAAAAGUUUAGGACUGAACGUUACAUUUAUUCAGUUUUAACCGCUGCAUCGAUCAUGAAUAAUUAUUUUUGUUAUAGCUUAAAUUAACUUGGUAUAUUUAGUGUUUGAGAUGUGCAGAGAUUCAUUUGAAUGCUAGAUAUUCUUAAGAAUCCUUGUAGUGGAGAUCAUUUUGGUGUUUUGCUGUGGUUCUAUAGAUUAUUUGGAAGAUGUGAUUGUCAUUUUGACAUCAAUAGUGGUCAAUAAUGCUCCUUGCCUUUUUCUAACGGAGCAGCGUACAAAGGUCCCGCCUGACCAGCAGUGCUGAUUAACAAAAAUAAUAAGUGCUCAUGUCAGCUCCCUCACAUUUAAGUACUAGAACGUAAUAAAACGCCUUCACAAAUGGCACAGUGCCAGCACUUUAUUAGUUUAAUGGCUUUCCCUGGUUCAGUCUCUGAAUGGCCUCAUUUAAAAGGACGUGCCAAGCAGGCAAGGUUUUUGUGACUUAUCUGUUUUGGCUUCUUUUAUUGUCUGGAGCAGCAUAUUUGAAGAAGUAGCUGUUCUCUUCAUACCGUACCUGUGGUUUUCUCUGCACAUCUCACUCUUCCUGGAGCCUCUCACGCCGUCAUGAUGCUAUUUCUGCAGUGCUAUACGCUUCAUGAGCAUCACAUCCACUUACCGUUUCACACCGUUGUUUGGGGUUUCGUCACCUGGAAAAGAAAAAAGACCCUCACAGUUGACAGAAAUUACAUGCGUCACAACUCAUUUGUUCAUUGUGACAAAUCUCCGGGGUCAUGUGGUUGUGUAUGAGUGUAGGCUGUUUUUGAUUUCAAUUUGAUUUA